GCGGGGCAAGUCGGGCUCGCCUGAGAGGGGGAGGGGUAAAGACACACGUGUGUGCAUCACAUUGUGCAAAGUGACAUUUGCACGGGAGUCCCCGCGUCUCCCCGGUUGGAAAACCGCGUCGUGGCGCCCGCUGCCCGGGCGUGGCCCUCCUUGGCGCGCACUGGGGGGACCUGCGGAUGAGCAGGCCGCAGGGGGUCCGCGGGGUGCAGAACGUGAAAAACCCGGGCUACCUUUAAACACACUGAUCCUAGCAUCUCUGACCGAGAAGACACUUUAUUGCCCGAUUCAGAUUCACCUCUCUUUGAGUUCUCGAGCUUCCCUCGCCCAGGACGCACUGGAAGGCGCUCAUAUCUCCAGGGACAGGGAGUCCUCUGUGCUUUUCUUUCUUUUUUUUCUUUCUUUCUUUCUUUCUUUCUUUUUUUUUUUAAAUCAACAUCGCCGAAAAGCAUUUCCUUCCACGUAUCCAUUGCUCUCGACUUCUGGACUUUACACAAUAAAUCUGAUCUAACUUCCACAUGACAGCUCCAAGUUCCCUCAUCAACCCUAGUCUGAUUUUCCACGUUCUUCCUCUAGUAUGCUGCUGGGAACAAGACGCAGUCCUGAAAGUGUUCUACAAGCACAUAGAAAGGGUCGUCCUCGUCCAGACUGUGCAUUUGUUGAUGCAGCCUCGAAUGGAGUUUAUUUUCUGGCAGCCAAGGUUAUCUGGUGAUAUUUGGGGGAGUUCAAUAACCUGGAAGUCCCACCGAGACCCUAUUGAAGAUCCCCUUUGUGCCAAAGCCCGAGACCCUCAAUUCAGAAAUGGGGAGCCACCGUGGCCUGCAAUGAUGAGGGGUACAACUGGAACAAAUUCAAACGGAAGCAGAUGCGAGAAGGUCAGUAGAAAUAUUUUUGUGUAA